UUUAAAUAUUAGCAAUUUUUCCCCUUUUGAUUGAAUGAUGAAAAUAAGUAUCUCUGAGAAGAACAGAGAGGGUGCUUUCUGAAGCCGUGCUGCAGGGGAAGAUUGAGAGGCACCCUCAUUCUCUGUUGUGGGCUGAAUUCUGUCCUCUUCAAAUUUAAACAAAGCUCCAAAUUUGGAAGCAGCAGUCAAACUCCACAGAUUACUGAGGGUGAAAUCACUGGAUCAUAUGGUGAGAAGACUGAGCUCAAGACGUUUAAAUGAUCUGUUCAAUUAGUUAACGCUCAGUACUGGAAGAACCAAGGCUGAAUCCCACCUCAAGGGCUCCUAGUUUGGUGCCUUUUCUGGCAGUGGGUCCUGUGCCUUCCACUCCUGUACAUCCUAUAGCAAUAAGUAAAGCCUUAGAUAAAACAUAGAUCUGAAGCUAAUACUUGUUUGCUUUAAUGAAUGUUUCUUCCUUAGAGAUCACAAAAUGUGCCCAAAGCAAGUAUGCUUAUUGG